rnacentral:snRNA from 1 species
ACUGGUCUUCAGGCAAGGGUAUAUGAGUAGUUGUGCUCCCCUGCUAGAACUUCCAAACAAGCUAUCAAGGUCAAUUGUAGAAAACUAGGGUAGUAAAGCUUACGGACUACCUGAAGAACUGUGGACAGUGGUGUGAGCUGGGUAAUCCACUAGUUCAU